rnacentral:lncRNA from 1 species
GAGUUAUCAGCGUGCUCUCCAGAUGACUCACAGAGUGGUCCCCAAACUCCAGCUGCAUCCGAAUCCUGGGAGAGCUGUGGAGACGGGGCGGCUGUCCCCCCACCCCCGCCAGAGAGUCUGAUCUGUCAGGUCUGGGCUGGGCCUGAGAAUCAGCAUUGCUAACAGAUUCCAGGGGAGGCUGGCAUGGGGGCAGCUCAGAGUGGCUCAGUCACUGGAAGGUUCUGCCCUGACAGUGCCAUCCAGUACCACCUGUGUGGCUCUGAAAUGUGACUACUGCGACCAAGGAACUGGACUUCGAACUCCAUGUAAUUUGAAUGAAUAGCCACGUGUGGUUCGUGUAUCGGGCCUCACAGAUGCACUCCUGUUACAGCCGAGGACAUGCUCUCAGGUGCGGAAAACCCAAAGAAGGAGGGUCAACAGCUUUCUCCAAGCACCCGUGCCUGAGGUCCCCGCCGCAAAACCAAGACGGUUUUCUUCCCAUUGGAGAUAAGGAGGCCCCAGGACAAACCCCAGGCUCCGGAACUCAGCCCUGAGCCAGCUGCAUGUCAUCUUUCUGGUCCUCAGUUACUUUUCACCUGCAAAAGUGAAGGUGCACAACCGCAUGCUCCCUAAGGCUUCCUGCUCUGUGACCAAAGUCAAGGAGGGCCAGGCAUUCCCAUCACCAGAGCCAAGAGGUCUGGGAACCUCCAGGAGGAGCC